CGGUGUAGCACGAUGGAAUCUGGUGGCUUAAACCUAGCUGUCCACAUUUCACUAUCUGAAGAGCAGAAAAUGUGUUAAUAGGAGCCUGGUGAGUGGAGGAGACUGAAGAUGGAGAGAGAGCCUGGACCUCAACAUGAGCAUUUGGAGCCAUUUGGCAGCAUUAGGCUGUGACCGCUUAGAGAACCGAAAGGUGCAGAGCUUUAAAGGAUUAUGGAGUCUGAAGACCAAAUGGGAUGAUGGAGAACAGCUAUUCAGUGGUACAAAUGUAAAUGCUCCCAGGCCCGGGCAGAAAAGAGAAAACAUUUCCAUGGAAGAGGAAACAGGAAAUUCCAACAGAUCAGCAACAGUUGGAGUGCUAACCUGUCACUGGAAUGAAAAAAAAUGCUGUCGUUGACACAUCUUUUCCUUGUUUUUGACACAAAUUAGAAACACCACCUGGAACACAGCUGUGACUUGAUAAACAAGUGAAAUAUUCUUUGGUGUGGUGAGGGGAAAACAAAUUUCUCAAAGGACACACACCAUGGUGUAUGAGAGGACACUGGAGCCCAGCCAGCAUCUGACAUGCUGAAUUCAAAGUGCAGAUGAAAGUAGGACAACUGAUUCACAAGCU
rnacentral:lncRNA from 1 species